AUUGAACGCUGGCGGCAUGCCUUACACAUGCAAGUCGAACGGCAGCACGGGGCAACCUGGUGGCGAGUGGCGAACGGGUGAGUAAUGCAUCGGAACGUGCCAUUGAGUGGGGGAUAACGUAGCGAAAGUUGCGCUAAUACCGCAUAUUCUGUGAGCAGGAAAGCAGGGGACCGCAAGGCCUUGCGCUCUUUGAGCGGCCGAUGUCAGAUUAGCUAGUUGGUGAGGUAACGGCUUACCAAGGCGACGAUCUGUAGCGGGUCUGAGAGGAUGAUCCGCCACACUGGAACUGAGACACGGUCCAGACUCCUACGGGAGGCAGCAGUGGGGAAUUUUGGGACAAUGGGCGCAAGCCUGAUCCAGCCAUGCCGCGUGAGUGAAGAAGGCCUCGG
rnacentral:rRNA from 1 species